rnacentral:rRNA from 1 species
GAUUAAGUUAUUAAGGGCGCACGGUGGAUGCCUUGGCACUAGAAGCCGAUGAAGGACGUUACUAACGACGAUAUGCUUUGGGGAGCUGUAAGUAAGCUUUGAUCCAGAGAUUUCCGAAUGGGGAAACCCAGCAUGAGUUAUGUCAUGUUAUCGAUAUGUGAAUACAUAGCAUAUCAGAAGGCACACCCGGAGAACUGAAACAUCUUAGUACCCGGAGGAAGAGAAAGAAAAUUCGAUUCCCUUAGUAGCGGCGAGCGAAACGGGAAGAGCCCAAACCAACAAGCUUGCUUGUUGGGGUUGUAGGACACUCUAUACGGAGUUACAAAGGACGACAUUAGACGAAUCAU